AUGGAAGACAAUGGUCAAGGCAAAGGAGAUGAUGUCAUUGUAAUUGACAGUGAUGAUGAAGAAGAGAAUGAUGAUGAAAACGAUGGAGAACAUGAGGAUUAUGAAGAAGAUGAAGAAGACGAUGAUGAUGAUGAAGAUGACACAGGGAUGGGAGACGAGGGUGAAGAUAGCAAUGAAGGAACUGGGAGUGCAGAUGGCAAUGAUGGGUAUGAAGCUGAUGAUGCUGAGGGUGGUGAUGGGACUGACCCAGGCACAGAAACAGAAGAAAGCGUGGGUGGAGGUGAAGGUAAUCAGAGAGCUGCUGAUUCUCAAAACAGUGGUGAAGGAAAUACAGGUGCUGCAGAAUCUUCUUUUUCCCAGGAGGUCUCUAGAGAACAGCAGCCAUCGUCAGCAUCUGAAAGACAGACCCCUAGAGCACCUCAGUCACCAAGAUGCCCACCACAUCCGCUUCCCCCACGACUGACCAUUCAUGCUCCACCUCAAGAGUUGGGACCACCAGUUCAGAGAAUUCAGAUGACCCGGAGGCAGUCUGUAGGACGUGGGCUUCAGUUGACUCCAGGAAUAGGUGGCAUGCAGCAGCAUUUUUUUGAUGAUGAAGACAGAACAGUUCCAAGUACACCAACUCUUGUGGUGCCACAUCGCACUGAUGGAUUUGCUGAAGCAAUUCAUUCCCCACAGGUUGCUGGUGUUCCUAGAUUCCGGUUUGGGCCACCUGAAGAUAUGCCACAGACAAGUUCUAGUCAUUCUGAUCUUGGCCAGCUUGCUUCUCAAGGAGGUUUAGGAAUGUAUGAAACACCCCUCUUCCUUGCACAUGAAGAAGAGUCAGGUGGCCGAAGUGUUCCCACUACUCCUCUACAAGUAGCAGCCCCAGUGACUGUAUUUACUGAGAGUACCACCUCUGAUGCUUCAGAGCAUGCCUCUCAGUCUGUUCCAAUGGUGACAACAUCCACUGGCACUUUGUCUACAACAAAUGAAACAGCAACAGGUGAUGAUGGAGAUGAAGUAUUUGUGGAGGCAGAAUCCGAAGGUAUUAGUUCAGAAGCAGGCCUAGAAAUUGACAGCCAGCAGGAAGAAGAGCCUGUUCAGGUAUCUGAUGAGUCAGAUCUCCCUUCGACCAGCCAGGAUCCUCCUUCCAGCUCUUCUGUAGAUACUAGCAGUAGUCAACCAAAGCCUUUCAGAUGAGUAAGACUUCAGACAACAUUGAGACAAGGCGUCCGUGGUCGUCAGUUUAACAGACAGAGAGGUGUGAGCCAUGCAAUGGGAGGUAGAGGAGGAAUAAAUAGAGGAAAUAUUAAUUAAAUGCUCUAUAAAAUAACUGAAUAAGAUUGUCAUCUGUUUUAGUGUAAUGAUUGUCGCAUUUACAAACAUUUUUAUAUUUAAAUUGGUAUGCUUAUCUCAACAUUCUUU